rnacentral:rRNA from 1 species
GAUGAACGCUAGCGGCAGGCUUAACACAUGCAAGUCGAGGGGUAUUGGUUUUCGGACCAAGAGACCGGCGCACGGGUGCGUAACGCGUAUGCAAUCUACCUUUUGCAGAGGGAUAGCCCAGAGAAAUUUGGAUUAAUACCUCAUAGUAUAGUACUUUGGCAUCAAGGAACUAUUAAAGUCACAACGGCAAAAGAUGAGCAUGCGUCCCAUUAGCUAGUUGGUAAGGUAACGGCUUACCAAGACAAUGAUGGGUAGGGGUCCUGAGAGGGAGAUCCCCCACACUGGUACUGAGACACGGACCAGACUCCUACGGGAGGCAGCAGUGAGGAAUAUUGGUCAAUGGGCGCAAGCCUGAACCAGCCAUGCCGCGUGCAGGAAGACGGUCCUAUGGAUUGUAAACUGCUUUUAUACAGGAAGAAACCCUCCCACGUGUGGGAGCUUGACGGUACUGUAGGAAUAAGGAUCGGCUAACUUCGUGCCAGCAGCCGCGGUAAA